UUCUUCCUUUUUAUUUUCCCUCUUUCUCACUCUCAAUCCCCUCUCCCAAACUCACCCACUAUACUCAUACUCCCGACAACCUCCACGAAUGGCAGCCAGGAAAGCAACCUCUGGCGAUCCGACUCCCACCAGUACAACAACCUCCAACACGAACGCGCCGACGAUGACGAUCUUUGGGGACGAUCCGACAUCUCGCAAAGCUCUACAAUCCCGAUGGACAACAGUAUUCCACGAAUCGGACUACCCACCUACAAUAGCAUGAGAUCUCUAGCAACUACAGACUCCAGUGACGGCGCAGAUUCAUUCCGGCGACCUCCAGCGACGGUGACACGACCCACAAGCAGCAACAACUCUCCGGCCGAGCACCUCCAAUACGAACGUAUCGGCGGCGACGAUCUCCGGCGACGAUGCGACAUUGCACUAUCUCACAACCUCGACGAUCUCUAACCACGACCGUUUCUCCUCCGACUACCUUCAUCGAUCAUUCUGAGAUGAUGAGUGAAGUGGAAGUGGAAAGCCUCGCAUGGGAUUUUGUUUUCCAAAUUUUCAACAAUGGAGUCUUCGUUCCUCGAAUAAGGAGAAUUGGCAGUACUGCUCAAACAAUUGAAGUUCAAACUCAAACCAACAAGCCUAAAGAAGAAAUAGAGUUUGCGAUGUGGAGCAGCCGACUUCCUUUCCAAGAGGAGAAAAAUAGAGUCGCCACCUGUCUAAAUUUAUAGGGUGUGACUGGCCACCUAUAUGCAGGAUAAGUUAGUCUGCACGAAAAAAAUAUGGGUUUGGGGGUCUAUUGUGUAUGGGGAAGAUAUUAGCACCCCACAACACUUUCAAUGAACGAUAAUUUAUUUUUCA